rnacentral:lncRNA from 1 species
UGAACACAUGUGGAUUUUUGCUUUUAGUUAGGUUCACAGACGGUCACUGAUCUGCACGCAAACUUUAUUUGUCAGAAUACAAACAAAAUAUCAUAACAUAGUACAAUGAAAACUUACUGAAAUUUAUGAAUGUGAUCCUAAUGAGAAUUCUUAGCAGUGGGACUUGAAGAUUCUCACCUGACCAUCACUCGUAUUCAGGCAUGAUUUCCAGUAGCAAAGUCCAAGAUGCAUUCACUUUAGUUUUUGGAUAAGGUGGUUCACAUGGAAACACCCAAACAAUCCUGGCUGAUUCCAAGAUAAAGAAUUGCUCUUCAUAAACUGACAUCAGGGCCAUAUGGCUGAGGACAACACCCAAACAACUCGUUGAACAUGAAGGAUUCCAACUGGUACCUACAUGGAAUUUUCACCAUGUGUCAUAGUGCCUAUGUUGCAGGAAGGUACUCUACAGGUUACCAGAAAAGAAAUGUGGGCACCAUCCCAGGAUACCAUAUAAAGAAUUUUCACUAGGAAGACAGCAUGUGGAGUCAGUCUUCUUCUGUCUCUGAAAGAGCACUGUGGACUGAUGGAGUUUUCUUGCUGAGUUUUGAUCCUGAGAAUUCACACAUCACUUCUCCUGCCCUCUCCUGGUCCUUCACAUCCAGCCACAGAGUGUGGCAACACUACUCCUCUGAAUUCUUAUGUUUUUAUAAAUGUUAGGUCAAAACAAAUGUAAACUUAAUGAAAUAGUUAAAAUGUUUGUUUAAAGUUAUUUUUAAUUUAUUUGUUAUUUUUUAUGUUGGAACAUGCAGCUAUAGCUAUGCUCUAGAGAGAGCAGCAACUAUACCAGAGAAUACUCAUAAGCAUAUGGUACUGCUACUAUUGUUAAGAUUCCUUUUGCAACAUUUUAUGGUGGGUCUGUUUGUGUUCUGUUCAUAUAUCUAACAAUGUCAGUAAUGUCAAUUUGUUUCAAAAUGUUAGGAAUUAACUGUUAUAAAAAAGUGACAUGUUGGUAAUGAAAGGAGAAACAGCAGAUGGAAGUAAUAUCUAGGCAUAAAAGUAGGAGUUUCUCUUAGGGAGCAUUAACGGUAUAAAGUCCUACAAUUAAUUAUGACAUUUUCAUAAUGCAUAUCAUUUGCUUUGAGCACAACAUCUGAUGCACUCCGCUGUGUGCAUCAUGCCCUGUUCCUGAUCCUUUUCCUAAUGUUCUACUUCUGUUUGCGUGUCUUUUUAAGAAUCAAGAUUCUGCAAAUGGCAGAAAAGUUGGCACUUAUUCUGAAUCUGCCAUAUCUUUCUUAACAGUGGCUGAUUUCGUUCACAAAGAGUAUUUAAAACU